AAGACUAUAUUUUCAGGGAUCAUUUCUAUAGUCUCUGACUUGAGAAAUGUGUUUCUAAAGUGUUCGGUCUCGCCAACCACAAUGAAGAGUCCUAAUACUUCUUCCUGAGCGUUAAGUGGACAGAAAUAAAUGAUUCAGUUCAUCUGCUUUCUGUCUUUGAUGACUCUUCAUUGCCUCCACUUGGGGGCAAUGAGAGGAGGAGGAGUAUGGUCACAGUGGU